rnacentral:rRNA from 1 species
UACGUAGGGGGCUAGCGUUGCUCGGAAUCACUGGGCGUAAAGGGCGCGUAGGCGGCCUGGUAAGUCGGGGGUGAAAUCCUGCGGCUUAACCGCAGGGCUGCCUUCUAAACUGUCAGGCUUGAGCACGGUAGAGGCAGAUGGAAUUCCCGGUGUAGCGGUGGAAUGCGUAGAGAUCGGGAAGAACAUCCGUGGCGAAGGCGGUCUGCUGGGCCGUUGCUGACGCUGAGGCGCGAAAGCGUGGGGAGCAAACAGG